rfam:Candidatus Pacearchaeota archaeon CG1_02_35_32 cg1_0.2_scaffold_129_c, whole genome shotgun sequence.
GGCUCCGUAGCUCAGUUUGGUCAGAGCACUGGCCUUUUAAGCCAGGUGUCGAGGGUUCAAAUCCCUUCGGGGCCA